CACGUAGGGCGCAAGCGUUGUCCGGAAUUAUUGGGCGUAAAGAGCUCGUAGGCGGUCUGUUGCGUCCGCUGUGAAAACUCGGGGCUUAACCCCGAGCCUGCAGUGGAUACGGGCAGACUAGAGGUAGGUAGGGGAGAAUGGAAUUCCCGGUGUAGCGGUGAAAUGCGCAGAUAUCGGGAGGAACACCGAUGGCGAAGGCAGGUCUCUGGGCCAUAACUGACGCUGAGAAGCGAAAGCAUGGGGAGCGAACAGG
rnacentral:rRNA from 1 species